ensembl:ncRNA F16F9.9 ncRNA
AAAUGUCUGGUUGAGGACAGAUGACUAAAAUGGCCAGAAGGGCAGCUGUGUCAUUGAAUACGGUAGAAGGGAGGGGGGCACGAAGGCAUAGUAGAAUACGGAUUAGUAAACCUCAAGAAGAUUCAAGACGCUAAUGUUU